rnacentral:rRNA from 1 species
ACUCCUACGGGAGGCAGCAGUGGGGAAUAUUGCACAAUGGGCGCAAGCCUGAUGCAGCAACGCCGUGUGAGUGAAGAAGGUUUUCGGAUCGUAAAAACUCUGUCCUAAGGGAAGAAAAAAUGACGGUACCUUAGGAGGAACGCCCCGGCUAACUACGUGCCAGCAGCCGCGGUAAUACGUAGGGGGCAAGCGUUAUCCGGAAUCACUGGGCGUAAAGGGUGCGUAGGCGGCUUGACAAGCCAGGGGUGAAAGGCAUUGGCUCAACCAAUGUAAGCCUUUGGAACUGUUAAGCUUGAGUGCAGGAGAGGUAAGUGGAAUUCCUAGUGUAGAGGUGAAAUUCGUAGAUAUUAGGAGGAACACCAGUGGCGAAGGCGACUUACUGGACUGUAACUGACGCUGAUGCACGAAAGCGUGGGGUAGCGGAACAGGAUUAGAUACCCUGGUAGCACAGAG